rnacentral:lncRNA from 1 species
CUUCACAAAGAAAUAUGAGAAUAUAUACACUCACUGAUACAGUAAAGAAAAAAAAAGGAGGGUCAAUAAUUUCCAGGGGGUAUCACUCACGAAUUUGGCUUCCCUUCAAAAGAAAAACAAUGAGAAUACAAUACACGGAACACGCACACACCUUAAUCCAUUAGCGCGCACACACCCAUAUAUUCUGAGUCAAAAUUUCAAAAGAGAAAAAUUGAGAGAUUUGAGCGAAAGAGAGAUCGAGAGUUUCGUGAGAGAGAUAGAGAUCGAAAAAGAGGGGGGGUUUAUUCCGGCGACUAGAUCCCGCCGAAGCUCCGACAACGACCCCAAAACUUGGCAAAGUCCCGUGACAAAAAUAGUCUGCUUUCCGUCUAUGAUUUCGGCUAAUUUCAAACGAAAAAUCACUAUUUGUGGCAUUCCUUGUCAUUCACUUAGUGUUAGGUUUUUGUUUCUGUCGAAAACGCUUGGUUUUGGGUCUAGUACACUCGGUUUUUGACAUCAAAAUUAUUCCUUCGAGGUUUUUCUAUUUUGGAUUCAUAGUUCUAUUCACUUCAAUCAAUACGUUGAGAGCAGUAGCGGGUUUCGAUUUGUGAUACUGAGUUGGAUUUGAGUUUAUGGUUGAGAUUUGAGUCAAGGUUUUUUGGCAUGGAUUCUGUCCUUUCAUUGAAGUACUAUUGAAUUUCGAAAGCUUCAAUCGAGGUCCAUUUCUCUAUCUCAUCCUCUAUUCUCGUCUUGAAUUUUAAUUAUUAUUAUCUUGAAUUUAUUUACUUUCAUGGGUGUGAAUGAUUCGUGUGCUUGAUAUGUUCAAAUAUUUAUUGUACAUAUGUAUUUGGUGUUGGUUUCGAUUUUUGAAAAGUCGAAUUGAUAAUUGAAUGAACUUAGAUAUGAAUAAUUGAAUGUUAAAUUGUUGAAAUUGGUUAUUCGGGGUGAGAAUUGAAAAUUGAUAAAAAGCAAAUGCUAGUUAUUUUUUUAUUCUUGAUGUGUUGAGACAGAUUAGGUGGAAAAGGUUCGGGUAGGCAAUUUUAGGAGUGAUGUAUUUGUUGAAUACGUUGAAUGUUUAAACGUGUGUGUUGAAUGGCUUGGUUUUAUGGUUUUUGGAUUCAGUGUAUCAUUUGGCCGGGGAAUGCCCCGACGUAUUUGUGUCUAUUCAUCGGGAAAUGCCCUGAAGUAUUUUGUACCCGGAGGACGUUCGUGAUCAAGGCCCAAGGCGUCAGGCUGGAGCUUAGUCUAGAACUAGCAUAGAAUAGGAUUUAUAUUUUUCGCAAUUUUUCUAUUUUGGACUGUAUAAUUGGACUGAACAUUAUUAUUUUGGUUUUGGAUUGUUGUUUGAUGUUUGUUUAUGUGC